rnacentral:rRNA from 1 species
AGUGGGGAAUAUUGCACAAUGGAGGAAACUCUGAUGCAGCGACGCCGCGUGAGCGAAGAAGGCUUUCGAGUCGUAAAGCUCUGUCCUAAGAGAAGAAGAAGUGACGGUAACUUAGGAGGAAGCCCCGGCUAACUACGUGCCAGCAGCCGCGGUAAUACGUAGGGGGCUAGCGUUGUCCGGAAUUACUGGGCGUAAAGGGUGAGUAGGUGGUCAUUAAAGUCAGAUGUAAAAGGCAAUGGCUCAACCAUUGUAAGCAUUUGAAACUUAAUGACUUGAGUGCAGGAGAGGUAAAUGGAAUUCCUAGUGUAGCGGUGAAAUGCGUAGAUAUUAGGAAGAACACCAGUGGCGAAGGCGAUUUACUGGACUGUAACUGACACUGAGUCACGAAAGCGUGGGGAGCGAACAGGAUUAGAUACCCUGGUAGUCCACGCUGUAAACGAUGAGUGCUAGGUGUCGGCAAGAGAUUGUCGGUGCCGCAGUUAACGCAUUAAGCACUCCGCCUGGGGAGUACGAUCGCAAGAUUG